rnacentral:rRNA from 1 species
UGGGGAAUAUUGCACAAUGGGCGCAAGCCUGAUGCAGCCAUGCCGCGUGUGUGAAGAAGGCCUUCGGGUUGUAAAGCACUUUCAGCGAGGAGGAAGGUGGUGGACUUAAUACGUUCAUCAAUUGACGUUACUCGCAGAAGAAGCACCGGCUAACUCCGUGCCAGCAGCCGCGGUAAUACGGAGGGUGCAAGCGUUAAUCGGAAUUACUGGGCGUAAAGCGCACGCAGGCGGUUUGUUAAGUCAGAUGUGAAAUCCCCGGGCUCAACCUGGGAACUGCAUUUGAAACUGGCAAGCUAGAGUCUCGUAGAGGGGGGUAGAAUUCCAGGUGUAGCGGUGAAAUGCGUAGAGAUCUGGAGGAAUACCGGUGGCGAAGGCGGCCCCCUGGACGAAGACUGACGCUCAGGUGCGAAAAGGCGUGGGGAGCAAAACAGGAUUAGAUACCCUGGUAGUCCACGCUGUAAACGAUGUCGAUUUUGGAGGUUGUGCCCUUGAGGCGUGGCUUCCGGAGCUAAC